UACGUAGGGGGCAAGCGUUGUCCGGAUUUAUUGGGCGUAAAGAGCGUGUAGGCGGUUCGGUAGGUCCGUUGUGAAAACUCGAGGCUCAACCUCGAGACGCCGAUGGAAACCAUCGAACUAGAGUCCGGAAGAGGAGAGUGGAAUUCCUGGUGUAGCGGUGAAAUGCGCAGAUAUCAGGAAGAACACCCGUGGCUAAGGCGGCUCACUGGCCCGAUACUGACGCUGAGGCACGAAAGCGUGGGGAGCAAACAGG
rnacentral:rRNA from 1 species